GACUGGCCUAUGCACAAGUCCCACUUCCCAGCAAGCUGAUCGUACCUCUGUCCCCUUUUCUCCCACUGCACCCUGUCUUAGCUAAUGCAGAGAGGAAUGCUAAUAGAGUUGAAAAUGCCUGCCUUUAGCCCACCUACCUUGCUGUUGGGAGUGGCACAGACAGGGUUAAAGAAGCUCAAUCCUGAGGUAACCUCUGUGGGGUCCUCCAGUUUGAAAGAGCCUUCGGAAUCCUGGGUGGGCUCAACAGUGCCCAAACUAUCCUGAGAAUCAGACAGACCUAUUAGAAAUGUGGCUACCAGGGUUACAAAAUCAGUCUGCUCCCCUUUAACCAGUGAGGUACCAGCUCUGAGUGCCUCAUCUGCCAGGCUAAGCAAGUCUCAGGGAGACCCCUGCUUGGGGUUUCUUGCUAGCAGCCUCUGAAGGCAAAGGACUGGGUAGGAUAUCAGAAAGCAAGGUUGAAAACAAGGCCAAGCCUUAGUCAUUUCUUUGAUUAAUCUUCCACCCUCUAUAAUAUGCAGUACCCUUGUUAGCAUGUCUAUAGGGUGUUGCCUGUAUUGGGUCUUCCUUUCAGAGAAGCAACUAAGGCCAAGAGUGAAAAGUUACUUAGGUAACAAGGAGACUCUGUGGUAGAGCUCAGAUUAGAAUUAUAGCCUGUUGUCAUGGAAACAGAAUUGGAUUGAGAGUCAGGAAGCCUGAGGUCUAAUUUUAGCUGUCAUGACCAGCUGUGCAAUAUCAGGGAUAAUACAAUGAGAGUGGUAUCUGAAGGGCUGUCGUGAGGAAGAACAACUAGACUUUUACACAGCCAUCUCCUAUUGGGAUGAUUUACAGGACCCAGAUCAGAACGUACGAGAGGGAACAUGACCUUGCCACAGCCAUGACUUCAAAUAUAUAUGUUUGUGGUACAUGGCAUGUGUGUGUGUGUAUACAUGUGUGUGUAUUGCAACAGCCAGCAAGCCACCAGCAUGUCCCAACACCCCAGAUAUGUAUUUGGACAAAGGAGGAGCAUUUUAAUAGCCUAUUCAGGUAAUUGUGGAUAGAUACUCUUCUUUGUGGUUAUACUAAAACCCUGCAAGUGGUAGUUCCCUAAAGUUGAAAUGUGGAAUUGGAAACCAUUACUAGUAAACUUUUCUUACUCCCUUAUGUUAAAAUCCAUCGGUCUAUCUUGCAAUCUCUAUGGUUCUUUUACCCUUACAGGCUUCUGUAACAUCAUCUGGAGGAUGUUGAGUGAUGCAAAGUCUCCAAAUGCGAACA